UGGGGAAUAUUGGACAAUGGGCGCAAGCCUGAUCCAGCCAUGCCGCGUGUGUGAAGAAGGCCUUUUGGUUGUAAAGCACUUUAAGCGAGGAGGAGGCUACUUGGAUUAAUACUCUAGGAUAGUGGACGUUACUCGCAGAAUAAGCACCGGCUAACUCUGUGCCAGCAGCCGCGGUAAUACAGAGGGUGCGAGCGUUAAUCGGAUUUACUGGGCGUAAAGCGUGCGUAGGCGGCUUUUUAAGUCGGAUGUGAAAUCCCUGAGCUUAACUUAGGAAUUGCAUUCGAUACUGGGAAGCUAGAGUAUGGGAGAGGAUGGUAGAAUUCCAGGUGUAGCGGUGAAAUGCGUGGAGAUCUGGAGGAAUACCGAUGGCGAAGGCAGCCAUCUGGCCUAAUACUGACGCUGAGGUACGAAAGCAUGGGGAGCAAACAGG
rnacentral:rRNA from 1 species